UUGAAAAAUUGAUUGCUUACAACUAAUAUCUUUUUUUAUCUUAUAUUCUGUGAGUUCUUCAUUUCUCAUUCACAUGCAUCAAAUUGCUCAAUGAAACCUGUCCUAGGAUCAUUCCCUCUUUACAUUUUUCCGAUCUGCUCAGAUCACUGAUGUCGGGCCAGUUGGCAUCCACGGUGGUGCGGGACAGCUGACGUCCCUUCCUCCCUCUGGGAAAAAACCACCACAACAUCAUUCCCAACGUAUCAAGACCACAACCUCACACCCUCGCCACCAAUGUACAUCAAGGAAUCUGCCAGCCACCACCACUAACACUUUUUUAGGUUGGAUAUUUGUUUGGGUUUGGUUUCUUGAAGAUGUUCAUGGUGUUCUGGGACUCCACAAAUACGGUUCAUGAACGAAUGACACAAAAAAAUAUUGAUGGCAUUAUAAAAGGUAUAAUUUCACUACUAGAAAAAGUAUAAUAUAAUACGGUUGAAAGUAUGAAUAUAGUACAUACAUAGAGGGCGUAUUAGUAGAGGGGUGUAUUAGAUUCCAUGCCUAAUAGAGUACGGCUAUUUAACCGUACUCUAUAUGUAUCCUAUCUAUUUACAACCAUCCCAUAAAAGAAUCUAAUACACCAUAUUAUAGCAUCUAAUACACCACAAACAACCGUACUUGAUGUCACAUCCCCCAUUCCUGCAAUUCAUUCCUGAUUGCAUUCCAGCCUUAUUCAUCACCCAAUUCCACUCCAUGGAUGCUGUUGCGGAACACAUAGAUCACCAUUCCAACUGAAAUGAAUGGUUCAAUUUCUGCAAAGCUUUUACUACAACAUAAAGAAAUAAUUUUAACUUCAUAAGAAUCCUUUUCAAAGCUUCAAAUUCCAAGAAAUGUUUUAAAAGUACCUUCAUUAAUAAUGUUUUGGCCUCAUCUCUGACAAUUUCAAAGAUCUCUAUGGCACUGAUUAUGGUAUGACUACCUUUUACAAGCUGCAAAGUUAUUGUCAAACUCCUUCCACUAACAGGGAUUGAUGUAUUCAACACAAGAGCACUAUUAAUAUAUCCACUCAUUUUGACAAUAUCAAUCUCUUGAAACAACUAUCACCAUAUAUAAUGAUGUCAAAAACCUGUUGUCCCCUCAUGUGACUAAAUGAUCAAUCUCUGCAAAAUGCAACCAAAACAAGUAUGAAGAAGGGAACGCGGGCAAAAUGGGAACAUUCCAUUCAAUUUUGACUUUUAGGUCAAAAGAAUGAAUAAGAAUUGUAAUUUUUUUUAUCAACAUGUUACUUCAAAAUAAUUCUUUUUUCAUAUUAUUGUCUCUCAUCGAUUUCUUGUGUGUGUUGUAAUCCAUGUGGGUUGUUGCUUUUAACAAGCCCAGUUAGGAGUUGAAGAGCAUGGAAGAAUUCCUCAAGUUUGACCUGGAAUAUGACCAACCAGGCAGCUGACUGUAUGGCUGCUUAGCCGCAUUUCGGGACAGCUGACUAUAUGGUCGACAGUUUUCUAGGUGAAAGUACUUAUCUUUUCUUACAUUCAUGAACCAUAUCUGAUGCCAUUUUGUUUUUGUUAUUUUAUAUUGCAUUGACAGCUUUGUAAUUGCAUGCUCUUACUAAACUGUAUAUAUUACAACUCUAGCUUGACUAAAUCUUUUAACCAUACUGGGGAGAAAUUGAUAAAUCCAUCAACAAAUUUGACUCCAAAGAAUAAAGACGAUUUUUAUUUGGAAAAGAGGCAAUUCUUGUCAUGAUUCUCACUGAUCUUACAUCUUGUUUUUUUAUAUCAAGUUUAAAGUUUACUUAAUCUGCAUGAUUUUUGUUUCUAUACUUAUUUUAUUUAGAUUUAAAUGCAUAUUCUGCAACUACAACUUUAUUUUACCAAUGGCUUUCUUAUAAUUUAUGUUGACAUUUGUUUUUUUACCAAUUUAUGCAACGAAAUGGACUUGUUACAAAUCUAUGCAAAUGCCAAAAUUUGUGAAUUAAUUGCAACAAUUUGAAACAUGACUACUUGCAUAAUUCUUGUUAGUAAAAAGUCAUUGCAUAAUGGCAUGUGUUCAUUUCAAUCCUAGAAAGAUUAUCGCACCUUAGAGAGUAGAU